UACAGAGGGGGCAAGCGUUAUUCGGAAUUAUUGGGCGUAAAGGGCGCGUAGGCGGCUUGGCAAGUGGAUGGUGAAAUCCCUCGGCUUAACCGAGGAACUGCCGUCCAAACUGCUUCGCUUGAGACCGGGAGAGGUGAGUGGAAUUCCAGUGUAGCGGUGAAAUGCGUAGAUAUUGGGAGGAACACCAGUGGCGAAGGCGGCUCACUGGACCGGUACUGACGCUGAUGCGCGAAAGCGUGGGAGCAACGGG
rnacentral:rRNA from 1 species